UACGUAGGGGGCUAGCGUUGUCCGGAAUCAUUGGGCGUAAAGCGCGCGUAGGCGGCCAGAUAAGUCCGGUGUGAAAGUCACAGGCUCAACCUGUGAAUGCCGCUGGAAACUGUCUGGCUAGAGUCCGGAAGGGGGCGAGUGGAAUUCCUGGUGUAGCGGUGAAAUGCGCAGAUAUCAGGAGGAACACCAAUGGCGAAGGCAGCUCGCUGGAACGGUACUGACGCUGAGGCGCGAAAGCGUGGGGAGCGAACAGG
rnacentral:rRNA from 1 species